CUUCAAUAUUUAGAAAAGCCCAUGUAUGCCGAUACCUUCUGUCCUGUGACCAUGACAGCCCUCAUCUUGCAAUAUUUCAGGGUUGUUUGGAUCUCAGACUGACCACUGGCCCACCCUAGGAGCACACAGGACCCACACCGACAGAGGUAGAACAAGCAGCAGAAGCACAUCCUCCAAUAACACUGUCAAGACUGCCCU